UACGUAGGUGGCAAGCGAUACUCGGAAUCACUAGGCGUAAAGCGCAGGUAGGCGGUUUGGUAAGUCUUUUGUGAAAGCUCCCGGCUUAACUGGGAGAGGUCAAGGGAAACUACCGGACUAGAGUGUGGUAGGGGAUACUGGAAUUCCUGGUGUAGCGGUGAAAUGCGUAGAUAUCAGGAGGAACACCGGUGGGCGAAGGCG
rnacentral:rRNA from 1 species